GGACAAUGUAAAUGUCGUUUAAAAUGUCAACUCAAAAUAAACAUAAACAAACAAGACCGAAAAUCCAAGUUUGUUGAAAGAAGCGAUAAAAAAUAAGUAGAUCGAGAGUUUCAAAACCGAAAGACAGUUUGAUCGGAUUCCUGAAUUCACCAAAAUAAAAACUUGUCAUGUGGAUUACAGCAUUUCUUUAAAAAUCAUCCCCGAAUAGAAACCAGACAACGAAAAUUUACAGAACCCUCAGACAUACUAAUGUACAGGAAGAGGAUUCAGUGCAUAGUUUUCUCGAGAGAAAAUUGCGACAUUUAGUACACCGCCCAGUGUCGUUAAUCAGAAACCUAGUGCACAUUGCCUAUUUAAAAAAAUAUGUUAUAAUACAAAUGAAGUCCACUGAUUUUUUAAAUUUCCAAAAAACAAUUUCCAAGAAUUCCGAAUACAAUAAAAUUCCUUACACAAAAGUUAAAUGCGUUCACUAUUUACUAACUACUACGCACGUUAGCGAUAAAACGCCUUUUAACUACUGUACUUUGGGUACUUUGUCCACUGUGAGACUAGAUGGUACAACACGUAAUCAGCGUACCAAACAUUGUAAUAAUAAUAUACUCGAUAACUUUAAUAAUGUCAAACAAAUCACAGAAAAACCAUAGUUGAAAGCAAAGAAGAAAGCUGAUAUUAAAUUAGUGUUAAAAUACAUGCCACAGGUGGACAGAGAUCUAUGAAAAUUUUAUUUUGUAAAUCCGAGUUAUAUAAUGUUCUAAUAAUUUAAUAAAUAUUAGGUUGCAAUAAA